GACUCGAUGGCGCAGUGGCAAGCGUUUCAGCUUCUACCGGGACUGAAGACUCCUGUUCGAUUCAGGAUCGAGUCG